ACGGACACAUCACGUUGAAACACCGGUUCCUGUACGAUCACCGAAGUUACGCAACGUCGAGCCUGGUCAGUACUUAGAUGAGUGACCACUUGGGAAUACCAGGCGCU
rnacentral:rRNA from 1 species